UAGUAGGUAGCAGUUUUAAAAAAACAAAAAAACCUCCUGUUGCAGAUAGGAUGUAAGCAGAAUGCAAACCUGAUUCUGAAAUUAGCCUCCAAGUGCUUCAAUGAAGCAUACAUUAUAGGGGCAUUGAUUUACAAGGUAGGGAAACUGAGGCAGAGAGGAUGAAGUGACUUAUCCUAUGUCACCCAGCAGACGAGUCAGAGAGUCAAGAACAGAACCCAGAGGUCUCCUAAGUGCCAGAUCUAAGCUUUCUUGAUGCUGAGGACCAGCUGCUGUAUCAAAUUCUAUUAGAGGAGCAAACACCAUACCAUAUCUCCC